UGGAUUAUUAGAACGAUUAUCUGUUGCACUCAUUGUUCUUUUGAUCUGUUGUAUCUCUCUUUUCACUACUUUCAAGAGUACUACCAAUCGCCCUGGGAUUCACUCCGGUGAAGAGUCGACCAAAGAUGAGAAAAAUGCUAUUGAAAAAUCGCCACAAUAAUAGGGAUUUUCCGGUGUAGAAUGAUUGCUCUCACAGGAUUUAUUGGUGGAGACCGCGACAGAGCAGGAUGGCUCAGUCAGUAAUAUCACCGUGCAGCCCACAGUUUUUCAGGCAUUGACACUAGCAGUACGUAAAGCGAGUCAAUCUAUAUGCAGUUAAGAAGAAAACGAUAAUAGAAGAUCCUUGCUUUGCCCCCAGAAGCAUGGCAAUACAGUCGAAGAAAAAUUAUAAUCAUCACAAUGUAUGUGAUGUAACACGUUUUCUAAUUUAUUUAUCAUUGAU